rnacentral:snoRNA from 1 species
CUUUCUAUGAUGAUUGACACAGUGACUUUCGUUCUUCUGAUUAAACUGAAGCUGCUUUAUCUGUCCUGAUAAGA